rnacentral:rRNA from 1 species
GACGAACGCUGGCGGCGUGCUUAACACAUGCAAGUCGAGCGGUAAGGCCCUUUCGGGGUACACGAGCGGCGAACGGGUGAGUAACACGUGGGUGACCUGCCCUCAGCUCUGGGAUAAGCCUGGGAAACCGGGUCUAAUACUGGAUAUGACUCCAUGACGCAUGUUGGUGGGGUGGAAAGCCUUGUGCGGCUGAGGAUGGGCCCGCGGCCUAUCAGCUUGUU